rnacentral:lncRNA from 1 species
GUCUUUGGCCCAUAGAGUGGGUCAAAAAGCAAUAGACAGGGUGGAUUGGAGCUACUCAGGGAGACAAGGGACAGAGGGAUGGCUACAAUGACCUUUAGAAACUUCUGGGCCUCAGGCUACCUCACGCUCCUUGCAUAAACGGGGAGCAUGUCUGCUUCCUAUAAUGCAUGCACUGUGGUCCCUUUGUGCCUCUGCUAUUCUAACACCCCUUUCCCCAAUCCCUGUUCCUAGGAUCAAGCAGUGUACCUCUGUGAACAUGGAGGAAUUGGUGAUAGCCCACCACGAAAUGGGCCACAUCCAGUAUUUCAUGCAGUACAAAGACUUGCCUGUGACCUUUCGGGAGGGCGCCAACCCCGGUUUUCAUGAGGCUAUUGGAGAUGUUUUGGCUCUGUCUGUGUC